rnacentral:rRNA from 1 species
UUUGCUGACGAGUGGCGCACGGGUGAGUAAUAUAUAGGUAACGUGCCUCUUAGUCUGGGAUAGCCAUUGGAAACGAUGAUUAAUACUAGAUACUCCUUCUCAUUAUAAUUUGAGUCGGGAAAGUUUUUCGCUAAGAGAUCGGCCUAUAUCCCAUCAGUUAGUUGGUAAGGUAACGGCUUACCAAGGCAAUGACGGGUAGCGGGUUUGAGAGGAUGAUCCGCCACACUGGUACUGAGACACGGACCAGACUCCUACGGGAGGCAGCAGUGAGGAAUAUUGCACAAUGGAGGAAACUCUGAUGCAGCAACGCCGCGGGGAGGAUGACGCAUUUCGGUGUGUAAACUCCUUUUAUAAGGGAAGAAAAUGACGGUACCUUAUGAAUAACCCCCGGCUAACUCCGUGCCAGCAGCCGCGGUAAUACGGAGGGUGCAAGCGUUACUCGGAAUCACUGGGCGUAAAGGACACGUAGGCGGGUUGUCAAGUCAGGUGUGAAAUCCUACAGCUUAACUGUAGAACUGCACUUGAAACUGGCAACCUAGAGUAUGGGAGGGGGAGAUGGAAUUAGUGGUGUAGGGGUAAAAUCCGUAGAUAUCACUAGGAAUUACCGAAAGCCGAAGGCGAUCUCCCUGGAACAUUUACUGACGCCUAAGGUGUGAAAAGCGUGGGGAGCAAACGGGAUUUAGAUACCCCCGCGUAGUCCCACGCCCUAAAAACCGAUGAAACCACCUAGGUCGUCGGGGAUGGCUUAGGUCCAUCCUCGGGUGAAUGCACUUUAAACAGAAUUUAAG